rnacentral:rRNA from 1 species
GACGAACGCUGGCGGCGUGCUUAACACAUGCAAGUCGAACGGUGAAGCGCCUUCCUUUUUGGUGGGUGUGGAUGAGUGGCGAACGGGUGAGUAACACGUGAGUAACCUGCCCCCUUCUUCUGGAUAACCGCAGGAAAGUGUGGCUAAUACGGGAUAUUCUGGGUCUGUCGCAUGAUGGGUCUGGGAAAGAUAUUGUUUCGGUGGGGGAUGGGCUCGCGGCCUAUCAGCUUGUUGGUGGGGUGAUGGCCUACCAAGGCGGUGACGGGUAGCCGGCCUGAGAGGGUGGGCGGUCACGCUGGGACUGCGCCGCGGCCCCGACUCCUACGGGAGGCAGCAGUGGGGAUUAUUGCACAAUGGGCGCAAGCCUGAUGCAGCGCCGCCGCGUGAGGGAUGGAGGCCUUCGGGUUGUGAACCUCUUUCGCCAGUGAAGCAGGCCUGCCUCGUUUGUGGGUGGGUUGACGGUAGCUGGAUAAGAAGCGCCGGCUAACUACGUG